GAUGAACGCUGACAGAAUGCUUAACACAUGCAAGUCAACUUGAACUUCGGUUUGGGUGGCGGACGGGUGAGUAACGCGUAGAGAACUUGCCUCACAGCUAGGGACAACAUUUGGAAACGAAUGCUAAUACCUGAUAUUAUGAUUUUAGGGCAUCCUAGAAUUAUGAAAGCUAUAUGCGCUGUGAGAGAGCUUUGCGUCCCAUUAGCUAGUUGGAGAGGUAACGGCUCACCAAGGCGAUGAUGGGUAGCCGGCCUGAGAGGGUGAACGGCCACAAGGGGACGGAGACACGGCCCUUACUCCUACGGGAGGCAGCAGUGGGGAAUAUUGGACAAUGGACCAAGAGUCUGAUCCAGCAAUUCUGUGUGCACGAUGAAGUUUUUCGGAAUGUAAAGUGCUUUCAGUUGGGAAGAAAAAAAUGACGGUACCAACAGAAGAAGUGACGGCUAAAUACGUG
rnacentral:rRNA from 1 species